GUAACGGCGAGUGAAGGGCAACAGCUCAAAUUUGAAAUCGGGCCCCGGACUCGUCCGGGGCCCGAGUUGUAAUUUGCAGAGGACGCCCCGGGCGCGGCGCCUGCCCGAGUUCCCUGGAACGGGACGCCGCAGAGGGUGAGAGCCCCGUAGCGGCAGGCGGUCGGGUCCCCCUGUGGGGCUCCUUCAAAGAGUCGAGUAGUUUGAGAAUGCUGCUAAAAGCGGGAAGUAAAUCCCUUAUAAAGUUAAAUCCCGGCGGGAGACCGAUAGCGCACAAGUAGCGUGAGCGAAAGAUGAAAAGCACUCUGGAGAGAGGGUCAAACAGUACGUGAAAUUGCUGAAAGGGAAGCGCUGGCGACCAGACGUGGGCCCGGCGGCUCACCCGGCGUUCCGCGCCGGUUCACUCCGCCCGCGUGCCCAGGCCAGCAUCGGUGCGGGCGGGGGGAUAAGGGGGGUUCUUUUCGGGAACCCCUUCCCGGGGGAGUGUUACAGCCCGCCCCUUGAUGCCCCCGUCGGGACCGAGGGACCGCCGGGCCCCCCGGUAAAGGGGCGAGGAUGCUGGCGUAAUGGUCAUUAGCGACCCGUCUUGAAACACGGACCAAGGAGUCGUCCACUGGAGCGAGCGUCAGGGCGUCCCAAAACCCGCGGCGCGGAAUGAAAGUGACAGGUGAGAGCCUUUUUUGGGCGCAUCAUCGACCGAUCCCGAGGCAGACGCGGACGGAUUUGAGUAGGAGUUCCAGCGGACGGACCCGAAAGACAGUGAACUAUGCCUGUAUAGGGUGAAGCCAGAGGAAACUCUGGUGGAGGCUCGCAGCGGUUCUGACGUGCAAAUCGAUCGUCAAAUAUGGGCAUGGGGGCGAAAGACUAAUCGAACUGUCUAGUAGCUGGUUGCCGCCGAAGUUUCCCUCAGGAUAGCAGUGUUGUCGCUCAGUUUUAUGAGGUAAAGCGAAUGAUUAGGGACUCGGGGGCGCCUAUCAGCCUUCAUCCAUUCUCAAACUUUAAAUAUGUAAGAAGCCCUUGUUGCUCGGGUGAACGUGGGCGUUCGAAUGAAACAACACUAGUGGGCCAUUUUUGGUAAGCAGAACUGGCGAUGCGGGAUGAACCGAACGGGGGGUUAAGGCGCCGGAGUGUACGCUCAUCAGACACCACAAAAGGCGUUAGCACA
rnacentral:rRNA from 1 species